AAGCUGUUCGACAUUGCUUGUGAAAUACCCAAGCAGUCCUGGAAUGUCAUUGGAUGCCAGCUUUAUACUGGACAUGGGGAGAACUUGAACUUCACAGCAAAAAUACAGAAAGCAUCUGGAAACUGCCAAUUUACCGUGAAAGAAAAUGAUUUAUUCAGACGUCUGCAGUCAGUGGGGAGCAGAGAGGUGAGCUGUGAUUAUACAGUGAACACAGAAACUUCAUCUUUCUCUCUACGCAGUGACCCAUACACCAUUCAAGGAUACCAGCCCUCGACCAAAAAUACUCCUUUAACAUCACCAGAAGAAGGUUUAAGGUCUCAAUCUACCUCAGUUAACCUCAAAGCUGCCAGAAGAGUUGAUGCACACACUGCCACAGUCUCUCCAGGUUCAACCCUUCACCUUACUUCAGUGUACACCAUAGAUGCUUCAGGUAAAUGAUACAUUAAUUAUCACAGUAUGACACAUUAUCAUACAUUAUUUAUUAGCAUAGAAAACACACAUAUAUAAUUAUAUAUAAUAUGUAGUAUUCGAUGGACCAGAUGUCUAUUUACUGUAUGUAUGCUUGUAUGUAUAUGUAUGAGCUGUAUGUCAACUGCACUGAAGAAUACAGUUGAUGGAAAAGCAUUG